rnacentral:rRNA from 1 species
AUCCAGACUCCUACGGGAGGCAGCAGUGGGGAAUAUUGCACAAUGGGGGAAACCCUGAUGCAGCGACGCCGCGUGAGCGAUGAAGUAUUUCGGUAUGUAAAGCUCUAUCAGCAGGGAAGAAAAUGACGGUACCUGACUAAGAAGCCCCGGCUAACUACGUGCCAGCAGCCGCGGUAAUACGUAGGGGGCAAGCGUUAUCCGGAUUUACUGGGUGUAAAGGGAGCGUAGACGGCUGUGCAAGCCAGAUGUGAAAGCCCGGGGCUCAACCCCGGGACUGCAUUUGGAACUGUGUGGCUGGAGUGUCGGAGAGGCAGGCGGAAUUCCUAGUGUAGCGGUGAAAUGCGUAGAUAUUAGGAGGAACACCAGUGGCGAAGGCGGCCUGCUGGACGAUGACUGACGUUGAGGCUCGAAAGCGUGGGGAGCAAACAGGAUUAGAUACCCGGGUA